GGUUGCGAUCAUACCUGCACUAAUGCACCGGAUCCCAUCAGAACUCCGCAGUUAAGCGUGCUUGGGCGAGAGUAGUACUAGGAUGGGUGACCCCCUGGGAAGUCCUCGUGUUGCAACCCC
rnacentral:rRNA from 1 species